CGUGGCCGACACGCGCACGAUUUGCUCGCGUCGAGUCCGAAUUUUUGCGCAUCUCGCUCCUUCCGAAAUCACCCUCUGUUUAUUUAUUUCGACGGACAAAAAUCGAACAGAGAGUGAGCUCUUCGUGAAGUGAUGUAUAUGAAGUGUCACAAGGAGGCACCAGAGUCCGAUGUAAGACAGCAAACGAUCGGACACUGUCGGGUAUAUAGCGUAUAAAUGCGAGCGAGCGGAAGAAGCUGUUGAGGGGAUGAGGAAAAGCGCCACUAGAGAAGAAGGUAGACUAGGAUAGGAGGGUAUUCCGUGGAAAAGCAGAGAACGGUGCUCGAGAGUAGUCGCGGAGCAUGGAUGUCAUGCGCCGGCGAAAAGGUUCUCGCGCCAACCCUCGACCAGCGACUUUACCCGGAUUCUCGCUUACAAGACUGCAUUCGAAUGCUGGAUGGAAAUGGAUGUUUCUUAUGGUCGCCGCUUAUAUCACGGAUUCGGGACUUCAACCCACGAGAGGGUAUUAAAUUUAUUUAAUAAAGUAGAAGUGAUUAAAAAAGAGCAACUAAACACAGAAUUAUUUUGGCCCAAAUAAGAACAAAACGAUUUACAAAAGUAAUUGCCGAUUUUUGACAUAUAAUUAUUUAUUUGUUUAUUUAUUUAUUUAUUUAAACGAGAAAUAUUCACUCUAAUAGAAACAAGAUAAAUACAUAGUAACAAAAUGUUUACACCUACAAUAUCAAAAUAAUAAAGUUCAAAACGUAGAACAUUUGAAAAGCAGGCAUUAAUCAUAUUAACAAGUUUUUAGGAAAAAAAGGAAAAAUGUAUUAUAACGUACGAGUGUCAACAAGAUUGUUAAUAUUGUUUUUACACGUGUCUGUUACUCAUCUAUGUACGAGAGAAACUUAAAAAAUAA